rnacentral:piRNA from 1 species
UGUGGCAUUGGAAUAAUUUUG